rnacentral:tRNA from 1 species
GACCGGCUAGCUCAGUCAGUUGAGCAUGGCAUUAACAAUGCCAAUGUUGCAGGUUCGAUUCCCCUUCGGUCC